UACGAACUGCGCAAACGUUAUUCGGAAUCACUGGGCUUACAGGGUGCGUAGGCGGCCGAGCAAGUCGAGUGUGAAAGCCCCGAGCUUAACUUGGGAACUGCGCUCGAAACUACUUGGCUAGAGUGUGGCAGAGGGAGGUGGAAUUCCACGUGUAGCGGUGAAAUGCGUAGAGAUGUGGAGGAACACCGAUGGCGAAGGCAGCCUCCUGGGCCAACACUGACGCUCAUGCACGAAAGCGUGGGGAGCAAACAGG
rnacentral:rRNA from 1 species